CUAAUACUCCCUCCGUCCCAAAAUUCUUGUCUUAGAUUUGUCUAUACAUGAAUGUAUCUAGUCACAUUUUAUUAUUUAGAUAUAUUUAUUUCUAGACAAACAUAAGACAAGAAUUUUAAAAAAGAGGGAGUACGAG
rnacentral:pre_miRNA from 1 species